UUAAACUGUAUAUUACUCAUACUAUGGCCUGUUGCCUUGCUACCUGGGUGCUUGUAAACUAAAGAGGAUCAAGGCCUAGUCAGUUCUUGGAUGGGUGACCACCAAGAAAAAUUUAGGAUGCUGUUAAAU
rnacentral:rRNA from 1 species